CUCUGUGGGGCUCUGGGGACCCCUUGGGCAGCAGCCUGAAGAAGGAAGUGGAUACCCCAGUGUGUGACUGAUGGAGAGAACAUGAUCCCCAGGAGCGGCUGGCAGCCCUGGGCAGACCAGGGUGGGCAGGACAUACUGCCUGCAGAGCUGGAGAUGCUUCUGCAAAUGGUAAUCAGGGUGCCUGCUGGAAAGAAGCCGGGCUCUGGGCAGCUCUGCAGGGGUUAGCAAUGGGGAAGGGAUCUGCCUCAGAGCCUGCUCUGGCCCAUGAACUCCACCUCCAGCUCACCCUGUGCUUCCUGCCCCGCCUUUUGAUGGUGACACUUGGGGAACAUUCAUCUGGUCUCUCAUUCUGGUGCUGGCUCAGGGAGCCACUGUCAUCUUAUGGAGGAGCUCGGCCCCAGACGACCCUGCGGGACUGUACUCGUGUGGGGUCUGUGAGGUGGGGUGCUCAUCCCUGCUCUGCCUGGACACUCCGUGGGAGCCUGGAAGGUCCUUCCAGCCCUGAGCCAGGACGCCAGUCUAGAGGAGUUUGGCUUUGAGUCUGAACCCUAGGGCUGCCUUGGCUCCCCCAACUUGGGGGCUGCCACUGGGCAGUGAGGGUGGGUGGACAAGGCCCCCAGCUGAGCAGAGUUUGCGGGACUGAGAAAACCUGGCACCAUUAUUCUCAGAGGAGGUUGCACCUGCACCUCCCUCCACCUCUCCCCAAGCCCCUGCCGUGGGGUAGUCAACUUCAAAGCAAAGCUCUUCGGAGCCUGCUCUGCUCUGCUCUGCUGGGUGCCUUUGGUCAGUGGAAGUCUGGGCUGGCCUCCUUAUCCAGGUCAGAGGAGAGCAAGCCUUUUCAGUGAGGCCAGGUCACCCGUGUGGUAGGCGGGGUCAGAGGAGUGCACCUGUGGCCCCUCCAAGAGCUGACACCUGUCUCUCUGGUCUGAGGACCCUGGCUGCAGGAGAUGACGCCAAACGCUCCACUCUGGGCUGAGCUGGGCUUGGCCUUCCCUGUGGUGGUUUUCCUGCCCGUUCCCACCCUGACUCUUGGCCUGGUCUCCCUGAGGAGAGAGGGAGCAGAUGGGGGCACCCCGGCACUGUCUGCUAUGUUAGGACGAAGCACCCCACACACCUGGAGCUCAGAGACCCACGUGGACGCCUCGGUGUCCCCAGCACCAGCAGCUCAUGGCUUUCCUGCCAGGUCCUGUCUGCUUCAUGUGUGGCUCCUGCCCUUCCCUCCGCCUCUCCCCUGCUGGACCAUUGCUGACUUUUGACCUAUUCCUCCUGCGGUCCAUACUACCUGGCUGAUCGUUCGAAAACCAGCAUCAAUCCAAAGCCUGCAAGGACUCUGAGGAUCAGAGUGCGGCUGCCGUCAGCCACAGUGCAGGAGCCCCUGAGCCUCCCCCUCCUCUCAAGGGGUCCAGGAAGCUGAACUCUCUUCCCCUCCCCAUUCAGAUUUCAGGUUCACCUCAAACCUUCCUCUACGCUUAGGGAAGGCCUAAAGUUGCCUCCAGCUCCAGAAGUCUGGAGUCAAAGGGUUUCGUGUCCCUGUAGAUGAGGCUCCUAAGGCCUGAGGGGGUCAGACUGUGGCCCUGCCCCGCCUCCCACUGCCCUUCUGCAGGCCUGUCUGAAGAGCUUGCGUGGUCCCCAAAGCAAAGAGCCGUUUCCAGGGUGAGGCCAAUUGGACGCAUCCCCUGAGCUGCUCUGCAGCAGCACCAUUCACAGCAGUCAAAAUACGGAAACGUCCCAAAUAUCUGUCCAAUGAGCAGACAAAACUGACCUAUCCAUGCAAGGAAAUGUUCUCCAGCCAUAAAAAGGAAUGAGGCACCAAUUCCUGCUGAAGUGUGCAGGAGCCUUGGAAAGAUCACGUAGAAACCAAAGCCAAGCAGAGUUGCCGUGAGAGGUGAGGCGUGGAGCUGGUUAUCCAUGUGGAGCCCAAGAGCAGGCCCGACACGAAGGGAGCCUCUCCCAGCGUCCGACGCCCUCGUCCUUCCCAAGUGGGCCCAGUUCAGGCUGCCGGAGGUGCAGAGAAAGAGGCGAGACACCAUCUCCCAGCAAGCGGCCCUGUCUUAACCUUAGCAUCAUGAGGCUGGGGUGGCCAGGUAACUGGGAGCUGCAUUUCUCAAUCCAGCCACCUGGCCACCUCCCACUGCCACCACACAUCACACGUGCCUGAAACAGAACCAUGGCAGCCCACUCAUGAGGACCCACCCACCGUAGGGAGGGAGAGUGCAGUCCGUGCCUGUGCCCACUGUGCCUCUGAAGCAGGUGCCGCGGGUGUCCCCCCAGGCCCCUCCUUCCUCCCUUCUACACACUCAAGGUCGCCAGUGACUGCUGCCUGCUGGGUUUCCCUGGGUCCGCCGGCAGGGCAACCUGGAAGAGGCAGAAAGCAAAUGACUUAGACGUAUCCCUUAGCUGGUGGAUAGGCACCAGCUCCUGCUGCACAGUUGGAAACCCCAGUCUUACCAUGUGACGCACCUGCUCCCCCGUUGCAUUCCUGAGCCCUCACCAGAAGCAGAUGAUGGUGUUGUGCUUCCUGUACAG